GGAAAGCUUUUUGUGCCUGUUUGGUUGGAACUCUUUGCCAGAGACUGAAUCUUUAGAAAAGGCUGAGAGCGCUGAUUCGGAGGCGAUGAAGAUGAUUAAAAUUGGUAUAUGCUCAUGUUAAUUUGUUGUUAUCAUAAAAAGAUAAGUCUAUGUACUAGUUGAGAGAGAAAAGUAGAGGGGAGAUAAUUAUAUUGUUGUGUGUGUUGAUAAUAGUGUUCGAGUCUGGCCUUUGCCAUGUCAGGUGCGCUUGCUUGGCAGGUCAAAAGUAUAUACCUAAUAAAAAUAUAGUCUUUUUUUGUCUCGGAAGGGAGAUGGCACGAGGUUUUGCUCGGCUCUCUCUUCCUCCUCUGUGUUGCCUUCUGUCUCGUCUUUCUUUUUCUUUUUUCGUUUUGGUUUCGAUUUUGAGUUUGCUGCACCGCUUUAUACUAUACUUAAUUAUCUAUCACUGCACCAGUAUGACAAUGUUAUCUCCGUAACAAGAUCGAAAGGAUCUAGAUAAUUCUUAAAAUCUCCAUUCCAUUCAAGAGAAUUUGCAACUCCUGGUGUCCAACUAACAUGCUUGAGCUUCCAAUUC
rnacentral:lncRNA from 1 species